rnacentral:rRNA from 1 species
GAUGAACGCUGGCGGCGUGCCUAAUACAUGCAAGUCGAGCGAACGGACGAGAAGCUUGCUUCUCUGAUGUUAGCGGCGGACGGGUGAGUAACACGUGGAUAACCUACCUAUAAGACUGGGAUAACUUCGGGAAACCGGAGCUAAUACCGGAUGAUAUUUUGAACCGCAUGGUUCAAAAGUGAAAGACGGUCUUGCUGUCACUUAUAGAUGGAUCCGCGCUGCAUUAGCUAGUUGGUAAGGUAAUGGCUUACCAAGGCAACGAUGCAUAGCCGACCUGAGAGGGUGAUCGGCCACACUGGAACUGAGACACGGUCCAGACUCCUACGGGAGGCAGCAGUAGGGAAUCUUCCGCAAUGGGCGAAAGCCUGACGGAGCAACGCCGCGUGAGUGAUGAAGGUCUUCGGAUCGUAAAACUCUGUUAUUCGGGAAGAACAUAUGUGUAAGUAACUGUGCACAUCUUGACGGUACCUAAUCAGAAAGCCACGGCUAACUACGUG